AGAGUUGUAGGCAAGUAGUUGGACAAAAAGCAAGAAGCUGAUCGAUGUUGCUGGCUUUGGAUUCUUUGUGAACAAAUGAGACAAGGCAAUUUUCUGGAGUGUUUGUGACUGGACUUUAACAUUUCCAAAAUGUGGCGACAGUGACUGUUAAGUCUUCCCAAAGACGAGGGUUCCUGGGAGCCCCAGGGCUGCAAGCAUCAGGACAGCAGAGACCAAAUUCAUCAUUGAAUCCUCAACAUCUAGCACAAUAUGCCUGGCAUAAGGUGAAGAGAAGAAGAGUAUGAACUACCACGAAACUCAUUUCCCUCCGUCCUUCAAUCAAAUACAAUGACCUUCAGCUACUCUCACCAUUCUCUACUGAAAACAUCCCAACUAUCUGGAAAGAACUCACCUAAAGUUCCCCAACAUCAAAUAAACCACGUUCCAAAAGAUUCAGAGCCAGAGAGAAACAAAACGCCCUUUGUUGAUGAAGCAUUUACUCAUACAUACAUACAAGUGUGUAUAUAUAUAUACACAUAUAUAUGUGUGUGUGUGUGUGUGUGUGUGUGUGUGUGUGUGUGUGUGUAUACAUAUAUAUAUAUAUUUUUUUUGAGACAGAGUCUCUGUCACCCAGGCUGGAGUGCAGUGGUGCAAUCUCGGCUCACUGCAACCUCUGACUCCCGGGUUCAAGUGAUUCUCUGCCUCAGCUUCCCAAGGAGCUGGGACUACAACAGGUGCAUGCCACCAUGCCUGGAUAAUUUUUGUAUUUUUCGUAGUGAAGGGGUUUUGCCACGUUGGCCAGGCUGGUCUUGAACAUUUACUGAAACAUUUUUGAAGGAUUCAUUGGCAUCAGAAUAUAAAAAGGGGCGUGUGCAAAAUGCCCUAUAUAAAAAUAUAUAUUUAAAACCUUGAUUACAGACAUAGUUCACAUUCAUUGCAGAAAACAUAGAGAAGCACAAAGAACAAAAUUAAAAUGACCUCUAACCUCAACACCUAGAGGACAGCAUUGUUAACACUUAGGCCACAUCCUUUCCUUUAUAUUUAUUCAUAUAAAUGGAACAAAUGAUGUUCCAAAGAUCAGAUCUCAUUGUAACCCCUGCCCUGCAUCAUCAUAGUGUACACAUUUACCCAUGUCAUUAAAUAGUCAUCUACAGUAUAAUUUUAUGCAUAGUAUUCUGUUGUAUGAAUGUGUCAUAAUUUUGUAAUUAUCUCCUAUUGUUGGACAUUUAGGUUGUCUCCAGUUUUCCCUUACUGUCUACAGCAUAGCAAUA
rnacentral:lncRNA from 1 species